UAUGAAAAACGACUCCACGCUAUCUAUUUCUCGGCCAGAAAUGCUCACUAUUAUCUGAGAAGGUCGAGAUUAGAGGUUCAUAAUGUGAUUAUCGAACUUUAUAAGAUAGCGAAUAUCGACUCAAUUACCGUGUCUUAAUGUACUUCAAAGCGAACAUUUUGUUUGGCUGAGCGGCCUAGAAAAGGCCUGUAAGCGCCCUGACUUGUCGAUACUGGUAUGAGAACGAUGAAAUGCUGACCAGAAAGUUCUAACAAGGAUUUGGUAUAGUUUGACAAAUGAAAAACCGAAAGCUGGUUAUCUCAGAUAGAGAAAAUUUCGAGGCGGUUUUACAUAGAUUAUGGCGGCAAUUAUAGGCCUGCUUAUGCUGCAUAUUAUCAUAUGCAUUUCUAACGCUUUUUUAUGACAAAGGGCAAAUGCAUGCGAAUAGAAACUAAUUCUGUGGGGAUUUUAUUGUUAUAAUGAGGCCAAUUUGAAGCGAGG